CCUACGGGUGGCUGCAGUCGAGGAUCUUCGGCAAUGGGCGAAAGCCUGACCGAGCGACGCCGCGUGUGGGAUGAAGGCCUUCGGGUUGUAAACCACUGUCAGUGGGGAGGAAAUACUAUAGGGUUCUCUCUAUAGUUUGACCUAUCCGCAGAGGAAGUACGGGCUAAGUUCGUGCCAGCAGCCGCGGUAAGACGAACCGUACAAACGUUAUUCGGAAUCACUGGGGUUAAAGGUUUCGUAGGCUGGGUGUGAAAGCCCUCGGCUCAACCGAGGAACAGCGCUCAAUACUGCAGGACUUGAGGAAGACAGAGGUGAGCGGAACUUAGGGUGGAGCGGUGAAAUGCGUUGAUAUCCUAAGGAACACCUGGGGCGAAAGCGGCUCACUGGGUCUUCUCUGACGCUGAGGCACGAAAGCUAGGGUAGCGAACGGGAUUAGAUACCCGGGUAGUC
rnacentral:rRNA from 1 species